ACAGGGCCCUUGCUCCAUCCUAUGGCCGACGUGUUCACAUGGUGAUGAAGCCGAGCGAGAAGCGUCGAGUUAGGAGAGAGAGGGCAGUGAGAUCUGUCGUGGGCUAGAUGAGAGCCAUGUCGGUGAUAGGCCCGUGGCGGGCUCAAGGUUAAUCCCGGGCGUCCUCGGCGCUGCUCCAAUCGCUCACCGGAGCGCGGCAGUCGCCGUGGGAGCGCUCCUCGUUGUUGGUAGACCUACUCGCUACACGGUAAGUCUUCCCUCAAACGGUUCACCUUCAUCUCUAGCUCGCGUAGCAGCGGUGGGAGUCGUGGUAUGGUGUUGGGGCGCCUGUGUGCUCAUCGCCAUGGGACUAGAGAUGGCCAAACGGGCCGCCCGGCCCGGCCCGGCCCGGGCCCGGUGAAGCCCGGCCAAAAACCGGGCCGGGCCUGCUGAGCCAGCGGGCUUAAUUUUCUGUCCAAGCCCGGCCCGCAGCGGGCCUAAACGGGCCGGGCCGUUUAGCACGAAAAAAAACGGGCCGAAAAGCGGGCUAAACGGGCCGGUAAGCACGUUUAGUGUAAAAAAACGGGCUUAACGGGCUUAGAGGUAAACGGGUCGUGCCGGGCUAGCCCACCGUGCCUAGUUUCCUGUCCAAGCCCGCCCGCUUAUUCUACCGUGCCGGGCUCGAACCGGGCCCAAAAAGCGGGCUUCGUACCGGGCUCACGUGCCUCGUGCUUUUUGGCCAUCUAUACAUGGGACCACUUCGCGUCGGGUGGCCAUGGCUAGCUUGUAGGGAGAGAAGGAGCGGCGGGAGGCCGAGAGGAAGAUGACGUGCGCUGCGCCGUCAGAUUUUAGAGUAACGGCUCGGAUAACCCCCAGGGAUAACGUUUCAGUGGAUUAGAUCACGGUCGUCCGAUUCUAAUCCUGCGUAGGUUAUGCUUUGGCGCCGUUUUAAAAUCAUGACCGUCCGAUCGGGAUCGGACAGUCCGGAUUACAUACCGGUUCAGUAAAUACUUCAAUCUAUUUGCAGCCGUCCGAUGAUGAUCCAACAGCCCACAGUUGUCGAUACCCCUUCGACCAGCCUUAUUUCAAAAGAGACCCUAAGAAAUUAAAUAAUUAACCCGCAGUCUUCUCUAGGUGUUCACUGAGUCUAGGAAAACUUGCGAGAUAGCCCCUGCACUUUCCAGAAAUUGGCGCGCAGUCCAGAGGGA
rnacentral:lncRNA from 1 species